ensembl:lncRNA
UCUGGAUGUCUUCCUGUGAGCAUUUCUCCCAGGACUUUGCAGAGACUGACGCUCAAUAGUAAAUGCUAAAAAAUUAUCCUGUGUAGUAAAAUGAGGUAUGAGGCAGCAAACAUGGAAAAACAUUUGGACACAGCCUUGCUGCUAGAGACAUUUGAAUAACCAAAGGGGCUGUUUUGGGGAAGACAGGUUAUUUCUGAAAGAUAACUUCCUAAUGGCACAGCGUCCCUCCAGCCACGCUGCUGUCUUCCAUUAGCAUCCAGGAGGGGAGAUCUCAUCCAAGGCCUGCAGCUGAGAGGGAGUUAUUGAUUUGUUUAUUUUGUACGGCCAUCGAAAAGCAUUUGGUUCUUGUUAAACCGGUGCUGUGGCAGCCUUGGUGGGGAGGGGGGCUGUGGCCAGUGCCAGUCUGGACAGGGCUGCUCCGUUUUGCAUUCCACAAUUGCAGCAACCCGAUUAGAGAGAUAUUGCCCUCGAUGCAGGUGUGGAGGGAGGGCUGCUGGGUUUAUGAGUGAUGCUGAGUGACUGCGCCUCUUGCUGACAGCCAGGAACAUUGCUCUCUGCCCAGCGCUGCCAAAAAGCUGGCCGCAGUACAAGCAAGAGCCUCCUGGGGUACUCCAUCUUUGUGGGGAAAAAAAUAGCACCCUUCCCUCCCCGAGGUUGGAGAACAACAAUAAAUGAAGAGUAAAUUGUUCAGAGAUGAUCUAUUUUCGCUCGGAAACCUGCUCAGAAACUUUCUUCCUAAUGCCUUUUCCCCAGUGCAGGCAGCGCUGCUCCAGCCUGCUUCCUAAUGACCAGCAUUAGUUUGCAUUAGAUGGAUUUGUGAUGAUUUCUUUCUGCCUGGCUGCUAAGCCUGCAAGCAAUUCAAAUGAAGUUCAGCUCCCCGUGCCCCAUCUGGCAGCAGCAGAUCCCCCAUCUACGUGUGCUGCCUUCUCAGCUGCUCUCCCUCUCCCACAUCCAGCAGUGGGCUGAGCUGCCUGAGCUUUGCAGGCCCACGGAGCUUCGCGGACACAUGCUGGGGCUCAUUGCAGCCCAGCCCCAGCCAUUUCCAGCGACUUGCUCUCGGAUGCACAAUGGGAACUUGGUGGAGGAGGGCAGAGGAGGAGGAAAUUGGUAUUCGAGUGCUCUGCGCAGCGGCUGGCCUGAGCAGCAGCAGCGGGAAGCGGCGGUGCUGUGGCUCCCUGCUGGAAGUGGGGCCGAGGAGGGAGAGGUGCUCCAGCCCUGGCCCCCACCAUCUCGGUCUCUCUGGCCCCUCGUUGAUGUUAUCACCUGGACUGAGGCAGAACAGACAGCGGCGAUGAAGAAAUGCUGCUCUGAUACUGAUACAAAAGGCCUGCCGCCGAGCGGCGUGUGUGCAGGUGGAUGGGUGAUCCUGAUGUUUAUCAUGGCAAUUAAUGUGCUGGUGGACUCUUUUCAUUACAGCUGGAUUGAAUCAGUGACAGAGUCAAGCCAAGCAACGAGCUGGGUUUUCCCAUUGAAAAAUAUAUAUAUAUUGGAAAUAUGAUUAAAAAAUAAUUAAAAUAAAGGGGCGGACAGCAUCCCGAAGGGUGCUCA